CAUGGGAUGUCCUUUCUUGCAAGAAAAUGCAUAUUCAUGCAUGCAAAUUAACCACUGGACACAGAAACUAUUAUGUUACAGUUCCAAAUAUUCAUACCAUCACUAUUUGAUGCAUUUAAUCUUGGCAUCAGUGCAAUCGACAAAAUCAUAUGAUUCUGAUAGAAAAGAAAGUUACCACCUUGAAUGAUCGGUCAAAGUAUCAAAACUUUCAGCCUUGAUCAAUAUUAUCAGAAAGUCAGACGGAUAUUUUUGUACAGAGGAAGCCCACUGGUGUUGAUUGUGUCAUCAA